GAACUCGCUCAGCAAUGAGCGAGUGGCGGACGGGUGAGUAACACGUGGGUAUCUACCUCUCAGUGAGGAAUACCGACGAGAAAUCGCCGACAAGACCGCAUAGGCUCGGCAACGAGCAAAGCUCCUUUUCGGAGGGGCGCUGAAAGAUGAGCCCGCGGCCGAUUAGCUAGCUGGUGGGGUAAAGGCUCACCAGGGCGACGAUCGGUAGCUGGUCUGAGAGGAUGAUCAGCCACACUGGGAUUGAGAACGGCCCAGACUCCUACGGGAGGCAGCAGUGAGGAAUUUUCCGCAAUGGAGGCAACUCUGACGGAGCAACGCCGCGUGCAGGAGGACGGCCUUCGGGUUGUAAACUGCUUUUACCAGGGAAGAGGAAGCAAGGACGGUACCUGGUGAACAAGCCCCGGCUAACUACGUGCCAGCAGCCGCGGUAAU
rnacentral:rRNA from 1 species